rnacentral:lncRNA from 1 species
GGUUAACAUUGUUAUUCAUACUUACCGGCUCAGGUAGGCAUCUCUAAAGAAACUUGUCACUGGAAAUAGAGUCUCAACUCGUCGUCCUUUACUGCUUUAACUUCCCUCUGGAAUCACAUUCAGAUAGAGGAAUGAUUAUUUCACAAUAAAUGCCUUUGGUCUUGACUGUCACGUCUAAUUGUACUCCAAUCCCUCCUCACGUUCAUUGGUCUGACUGGGGCAUAUGCUCAUUCUGGAACUAAUCCCAGUUCUGGAUUGUGCCCCGACAAUGCUGUUCAUUGACGGGCUUAGGCUUUCUCCCUCCUGAGCCAAUCACUAUGGUAGAAAGGAUGGAAUGACUGCUCUCUUCCAACAACAUCACUGUGACAUCAUAAGAGAGAUUUGAAAAGCAUCUUGGAGGACUUUCUAUGUCAAGCUCCCCAGAUGCACACCUUGAGACUAGGAUUUGCUGCUUUUAAAGUGACAUAAUCAGACCAAGAUUUAAGGUAUGGAGUGAAAAAGGAUGGACCAGAAGCAGAGGGAUCAGAGAUGUUGAGAUCACCUUGCCUUCAGCAAAGGGAGAGGCAGAGCCUCAGAACUCACUAGGUGUUGGGCAACCUGCUGACCACUGAGCACUGUUGUAGGAGUCUAGCACCGUUCUCUGGGGGGACUCAGUCCAAGGAGGCUCCAGGCCAGCUGCUUGGGAUGAAUGUCAGGCACUGCGAUACAGACAGAAGAAAUGAUGUUAUGGCAGUUCACAACCCACCCUUUAAGAAGACUGGCAGAUCCCACCUCAGUCUCUUAGAAACUUGAGAUACCUUGUAAGAAAGCUGACUACCUGUAAGAGAAACCACAUGGAAAUCAUGAGAAUCCUUGGGAAAGGAGAGAGGCUCUGCUGAGCCCAGCCUUCCAGCCAAUUCCAGCAGGGUGAUGGAGCAUCAUGCGUGAUUCUCACAGAGCUCAAUAGACGUCGGGCAAGUGGAAGGCCAUCAGACCUCUCAGGUCACAGCAUCCAGAGCAUCCCGUUGGACACAUAAAGACUAAGUUACUUAACUGUGGAGAUUCCUCUCUCUUUCUCUCUCUCCUUCUUUCUCCAAACCCAGAUGUUUGGCAUCUCACCAAUAUCGUCCAAGACCUUCUGGAUUGGGAACAAAAUAAAUGUAGAGAAAGAGGAAGCAGUUUUAGUGAAAGCACCACAGGGAGCAAACCAAUAAAAAAGCAGGAAACUCAGCACAAGCCCGAUUUAUGUCGCUGCAUUUCCCUAGCACUCAGCCUAUUCCUCCAAACCCCAACACACACACACUCGUGUGCACACACACGUGCACUCACACAUGCACAUGUGCACACACACACCACAAGCGCCUGCUCCUAUUAGCUUUCUUUCCUGCUCUCACUUUUCAUUUUAAAGUCAAACAUUGGGUAAAAUUCUCUUUUUAUUUCACUCUCCUUCCCAUCUCUCUGAAAGAGCUUCAGAAGGGGAGUUUUGCAUGAGCGUCCUGAGGGCUCGUGGAUCUGAGACUGUACAGCUCCCUCACCUCCACAUUUCCCUGAUGGUCCUAUCUCUUUUUAAUAGUCAAUAAAACAUUGCUAUAGCCUCUAUUUUAGUUUCUGUUUCUAGACAACAAGAAAGAGAGAAAAGGUAGAAAGGAAGGAAGGGAGGGAGGGAGGAAGGAAAGAAGGGAGGAAGGAAGAAAGGAAGGAAGGGAAAGGAAGGAAGGAAAAGGAAGGAAGGAAAAGAAAGAAAGAAAGAAAAAGAAAGGAAGAAAGAAAGAGACCCAGUCUAUAAACAAAAACAUCAUGGCUUUCCCUUUUUCAACAGCUGGGGACAAUCAUAGCACUUUUGAGUUUUGUUUUGUUUUGUUUUGUUUUGUUUCUGUCAGGAGGCAGAGCCCCAUAGAAGUGAUGGUUCUCUUGGUGGGAACACAGAAGAAGCAAGUUGAGAAUGAGCACUUUGGGACAGGCAGGUCUGGUAGCCAAAAGCAGAUUUUGAUUAAAGUAGAG